AGAACGUUCAAACGUGAUGAUAUUGCCGCAAAGGUUUUAUUCUACACGGAAAGAAGGCUUAUUAAAAUCUGUCUAACAGUGAAGAGACGCAAGAACAAAAAGGACUCGUGAGUUCGAAGCGCUUUAGACUCUUGUGAACACGAGACAGUUUUAGAGAGCACCGCAAAUAUAUUCCACAGAGCGAUGAACUCUGUAGCUAUUAAACGUAUAUACGUAUAUACACUUCCGUCCUAGAAUAGUCACUAUGUCCUUUUAUCGUAUCCGUUUUACUUAAGCGUCCGUCGAUGGUAAAUUCUUUUCCAGCAAUUCUGAAACAGUGCAAAUUAUCGGCAAGAUCGAUAUCAGGCAGUGUAAUUGUUACAUAUAACAUAUGCCAUAUUACAGCGAUAUAUAUUACGAUUUAUAUUACUGAGUGAGAAACUAUAAUAUCAAUCAACAAUAAAAUUAUUGUUAGUUUGUA